UAAAACAUAGCGUUAAUGCACCAAAUCCCAUUAGAACUUCACAGUUAAGCACGCUUAGGCUAGAGUAGUACUGGGAUAGGUGACCGCCCGGGAAGUCCUAGUGUUUUAC
rnacentral:rRNA from 1 species